rnacentral:rRNA from 1 species
UACGUAGGGUGCGAGCGUUGUCCGGAUUUAUUGGGCGUAAAGGGCUCGUAGGCGGCGUGUCGCGUCGGGAGUGAAAGCCCGUUGCUUAACGGCGGGUUGGCUUUCGGUACGGGCAUGCUGGAGUGCGGCAGGGGAGACUGGAAUUCCUGGUGUAGCGGUGGAAUGCGCAGAUAUCAGGAGGAACACCGGUGGCGAAGGCGGGUCUCUGGGCCUUACCUGACGCUGAGGUGCGAAAGCAUGGGGAGCAAACAGG